CGCAAAACCAAGCGCCACUUUCAGCACGUGUUAACCAGGACCAGCCCUGUGGAACAACGUAGAGAAGUUGCAAUUCUAUGCUUAAUUGUCUGCUUCUCUGAAAAUCCUGAGAAUCUCAUCAAGCACCAUCAGGAUACUUAUGGGAAUAAGGAGUAACUGGAACUGCUCACACUUAAAAUCAUCACGGAAGGUGGCUCAACAGAUCAUCCAUUACAGAUAGUGCUAGAAGACAUAGAGGUGAUUAUGGGAUUGGCAGGAUGUUUGUUGCAUGUGACCUAUUGUGAAGAAUACAAUCUCUGUCUUACAAACAAAACAAAAAGAAAUAAAAAAUUAUAGUUUUAUUAGGAAUUCUUUACAAAAGUAAAUGGAAAAAUGUAAAUCCUUUAAGAAGUGUUGCAAAGGGUGAAGAAUCAAGGAAAUAACCUGUUGGAAGUGAACUUCCAUUUGUAUAUUUGUCACAUUUUGUUGUACAUUCAUGAUGUGUUGUUGUCAAAAAAAUAAA